rnacentral:rRNA from 1 species
AUAUUGCACAAUGGGGGAAACCCUGAUGCAGCGACGCCGCGUGGGUGAAGAAGUUGUUCGGAAUGUAAAGCCCUAUCAGCAGGGAAGAAAAUGACGGUACCUGACUAAGAAGCACCGGCUAACUACGUGCCAGCAGCCGCGGUAAUCCGUAGGGGGCGAGCGUUAUCCGGAUUUACUGGGUGUAAAGGGAGCGUAGACGGUAUGGCAAGUCUGAAGUGAAAUCAUGGAGCUCAACUCCGUAAUUGCUUUGGAAACUGUCAAACUCGAGUGCCGGAGGGGCAGGCGGAAUUCCUGGUGUAGCGGUGAAAUGCGUAGAUAUCAGGAAGAACACCGGUGGCGAAGGCGGCCUGCUGGACGGUAACUGACGUUGAGGCUCGAAAGCGUGGGGAGCAAAC